rnacentral:lncRNA from 1 species
CCGCGGCAGCAGCAGUGUCCUCAGGGGUGGGCAGGCAACCUCGGCGGCGGUAGCCUCCUCGUCAAGGUGGAGUGAUAACACGUAACUUCAACAACAUACAGCCAGUGACAUCCACAGCAGCACAGAUCAAUGAUUGAGCUCCACAGAAGGCUGGCCACCACUCCCUAGGGACCCUGGUUCAUACCGGAGGCUUCAGCAUACAGCGAUGAAGGUGCUGGUCAUAACUGGCUAUGGCUUGGAGUCUUAAUCCCUUCCCAGUUUCAACCCUUUGUGGCCAGGCUUGGCUGUACUCAGCUGUGCUGCGGAAAAGGACACGGGAUGCGUCACUGCGGUUUCCCUAUCCAGGGGCAGAAUGGCAAGUAGCAAGCACAGCACUAUGUUAGAUCUAAAGACCGUGCUCGUUCUUUGACAGACUACACACAUCCUAUUCAUCAGUUCAAUAUCAAAUGGAUCAACAGCCACACUGCUGAGCUCCUCCUUGCUUCUGUUGCAGUUACUGCUCCGUUUCUUGCAGUGCUCAUAGAACUAUUUGCAUGACAAUUAUUAGUGUGUAGGGAUAUAUGUCAACUCAACCAUUUUUGUAGAGCUAAGAUAAAGAAAUAUUUCCAUUUCUGCCACCUUUAAGGUUAAGUU